AACGAACGCUGGCGGUAUGCUUAACACAUGCAAGUCGAACGAACGUAUUGAGUUCGGUUAAUACGUUAGUGGCAGACGGGUGAGUAACGCGUGGGAAUGUACCCUUUAGUUCAGAAUAACUACGGGAAACUGUAGCUAAUACUGGAUACGCCCUUCGGGGGAAAGAAUAAUCGCUAAAGGAAUAGCCCGCGUUAGAUUAGGUAGUUGGUGAGGUAAAGGCUCACCAAGCGGACGACCUAAAGCUGGUGUGAGAGGAUGAUCAGCCACACGGGGACGGAUACGCGGCCCAGACUCCUACGGGAGGCAGCAGUGUGGAAUGUUGGACAAUGGGGGCAACCCUGAUCCAGCAAUACCGCGUGAGUGAAGAAGGCCUUCAGGUUGUAAAGCUCUUUUACCGGGGAAGAUAAUGACGGUACCCGGGGAAUAAGCGCCGGCUAACUUCGUGCCAGCCGCCGCGGUAA
rnacentral:rRNA from 1 species